GGCCAUGUUUUUUGACGGAUCAAAAAUCGAAGCGCACAUUUUGUGCAGGAUAUACUAAGGAACAAUCAUGUUAAGUUUCAUUCAAAUCCAUUCAGUAGUUUCAGAGGAGAAGAUGUUUGAAAAAUUGUUAACGACGACAGACGACGACGACGACGGACGCCAAGUGAUGAGAAAAGCUCACAUGGCCUUUUAGGCCAGGUGAGCUAAUAAAAAUGACAAAAUUGGUGUCAUAUUUAUAUAUUUGUUCAUUUUCUGUCAAAGUCUAAAUCUACCGUGAUUUCUAUACUCGCUCUCCUUUUUAAAGCAAUUCCUUAUGUACUUAGAUUCGAAAUGUGGUUUGCAUUUUUUUUUAAAUUAUAACUGUGUAGAUGUAUGUUCAGUAUGUGGUUGAAGUUUUAAUAUAUCAAUAACUUUGUCAAACCAUCGUAUGAUUUUACGAUAGCGGUUUAUGGUCAAAAGAGUAUAUGACGAAAUUAUAUAUGAUGAAUUUUCCCGUAAUUCAUGGAUUUUUAAAAGGAAUUUCUUGAAAUAUUUA
rnacentral:lncRNA from 1 species